ACACUUACCUGGCAGGGGAGAUACCAUGGUCAGGAAGGUGGUUCUCCCAGGGCGAGGCGAGGCUUAUCCAUGGCACUCGGAUAUGCUGACCCCUGAGAUUUCCCUAAAUGUGGGAAACCCGACUGCAUAACCAGUGGUGGUGGGGACUGCGUUCGCGCUCUCCCCGG
rnacentral:snRNA from 1 species